rnacentral:rRNA from 1 species
UACGAAGGGGGCUAGCGUUGUUCGGAAUUACUGGGCGUAAAGGACGCGUAGGCGGUCCCUCAAGUCAGGCGUGAAAGCCCCGGGCUCAACCUGGGAACCGCGCUUGAGACUGAUGGGCUAGAGUUCGGGAGAGGAUGGUGGAAUUCCCAGUGUAGAGGUGAAAUUCGUAGAUAUUGGGAAGAACACCGAUGGCGAAGGCAGCCAUCUGGACCGACACUGACGCUGAGGCGCGAAAGCGUGGGGAGCAAACAGG